rnacentral:rRNA from 1 species
ACACAUGCAAGUCGAGGGGCAGCGGGAUUGAAGCUUGCUUCAAUUGCCGGCGACCGGCGCACGGGUGAGUAACGCGUAUCCAACCUUCCGUACACUCAGGGAUAGCCUUUCGAAAGAAAGAUUAAUACCUGAUGGUAUGAUGAGAUUGCAUGAUAGCAUCAUUAAAGAUUCAUCGGUGUACGAUGGGGAUGCGUUCCAUUAGGUAGUAGGCGGGGUAACGGCCCACCUAGCCUACGAUGGAUAGGGGUUCUGAGAGGAAGGUCCCCCACAUUGGAACUGAGACACGGUCCAAACUCCUACGGGAGGCAGCAGUGAGGAAUAUUGGUCAAUGGACGAGAGUCUGAACCAGCCAAGUAGCGUGAAGGAUGAAGGUCCUACGGAUUGUAAACUUCUUUUAUAAGGGAAUAAAACCUCCCACGUGUGGGAGCUUGUAUGUACCUUAUGAAUAAGCAUCGGCUAACUCCGUGCCAGCAGCCGCGGUAAUACGGAGGAUGCGAGCGUUAUCCGGAUUUAUUGGGUUUAAAGGGAGCGCAGACGGGUCGUUAAGUCAGCUGUGAAAGUUUGGGGCUCAACCUUAAAAUUGCAGUUGAUACUGGCGUCCUUGAGUGCGGUUGAGGUGUGCGGAAUUCGUGGUGUAGCGGUGAAAUGCUUAGAUAUCACGAAGAACUCCGAUUGCGAAGGCAGCACACUAAGCCGUAACUGACGUUCAUGCUCGAAAGUGUGGGUAUCAAACAGGAUUAGAUACCCUGGUAGUCCACACUGUAAACGAUGAAUGCUAGGUGUAGGGG